UUAUUAUUUUAUUUGAAAGGUUUACAGAGAGAAGAAGAGACACAGAGAAAGCUCUUCCAUCCGCUGGAUUACUCCCCAAAUGGCUACAAUGACCAGAGAUGAGCCAAUCCAAAACCACAAGCCAUGAGGAAUGGACCUGGACCGGAUGACUGAAGAUGUCAAUGGAAAGCAGGUUAAUGAAAUUCUGCCUCACCAAGCUGGAAGGUCCUGUGUGAAAGGAGAACGUAUAAUCCUUUUAAAUGGAGCUUUAAUAGGUACAAUUGCAGAAAAUAAUGAGGAGUGUGAGCCCCAGGGCUGGAUGGUAGCCGCCUCCAGAGUCUUGUUGCAAAUCGGGCAUUUCCUUAGACAGCACAGAAGCCAUGGCUCCUCUUGGGGCAAUGGUCUCUUGCACCUCAUUUGGAACAUUUAGAGCUCUGAGACCUUCCCUGUUCAAAAUUGUGGUCCCCAGGACCACAGUGUGAUUCCUAAGAUAUGGCUGAUCUUGUUAGCAUAAAUACACAUUGGAUAUCUGAGA